rnacentral:rRNA from 1 species
GACGAACGCUGGCGGCGUGCUUAAUACAUGCAAGUCGAACGGAAAGGCCCUGCUUUUGUGGGGUGCUCGAGUGGCGAACGGGUGAGUAACACGUGAGUAACCUGCCCUUGACUUUGGGAUAACUUCAGGAAACUGGGGCUAAUGCCGGAUAGGAGCUCCUGCUGCAUGGUGGGGGUUGGAAAGUUUCGGCGGUUGGGGAUGGACUCGCGGCUUAUCAGCUUGUUGGUGGGGUAGUGGCUUACCAAGGCUUUGACGGGUAGCCGGCCUGAGAGGGUGACCGGCCACAUUGGGACUGAGAUACGGCCCAGACUCCUACGGGAGGCAGCAGUGGGGAAUAUUGCACAAUGGGCGGAAGCCUGAUGCAGCAACGCCGCGUGCGGGAUGACGGCCUUCGGGUUGUAAACCGCUUUCGCCUGUGACGAAGCGUGAGUGACGGUAAUGGGUAAAGAAGCACCGGCUAACUACGUG